rnacentral:lncRNA from 1 species
CAUAUAGAGCGGUGACUGAAUAUUGGAUUCUGCCUGCAUCUUUUGAGUGAAGCUUUUGCAUUGAAUCAGUUCGAACUGUAGUUAUUGAAAUAGCCUCCGUGUUGCUCUUGAUGGGUAUUGUUGCUUAUAAUACAUCAGUUACCCUAAGUUUCUGAAACAAAUCCUACUUUGGUUAGAUGAAGUAGAUCUUAUUGUAGUUCUGAAGUCUUGGGUCAAGGUGAUUUUAGCUUGAGAGAGGAUAAUGCUACUGCUUUGACCAGCCAUUUUAGUGGGACCUGAGAAGUGUCAGUAUGAUCUCUGGUUCUUGUUCAUUUCCACCACCUUUACUCUGCAACCAUUUCAAAGCCGUGGGUCUAUUAAUGAAUAAAGCUGUGCAGCCCCUCCAUCUGAAAGUUUCUGCUUCUAUGCCCCCUUUUGCUACGACAGAAAAUUGAUGGUGGAUUUUGCUGGACCAGCAGGAACCUCUUAAUAUUUUAUAUAGCUCUGAGCAUCAUCUACACGAGAUAAAUGCCAUUUAUCCUUUGUGUUUUUGUUUACAUUUGUUGAAGAAUAAAGAAAGCGCUGCUUAUUGUUACCUGGGAACAAUGGAGAGGUGAUUACUUUUUCCCGUUUUUGCAGGAAUUCCUAUUUCCUUCCUCCCGUGUUUUGUAUUAAAUUUCUUAGUACCUUUCUCUGCAAAUACAGGUACAACUUAAUUAAGGAAGUUGGUGAUGGGACGUUUGGGAGUGUCUGGAGAGCUAUAAACAAACAAACUGGUGAAGUUGUAAGUAUUCUUUAACUGACAUGAUGGAGUUGCUCUAUUUGAAGUCGGGUGGUGUCCUAAUAAGUAGUAAAACUGCAGGUUGCUAUCAAGAAGAUGAAGAAGAAGUAUUACUCUUGGGAGGAGUGUGUAAACCUAAGAGAAGUCAAGGUUUCAAUCUUGCUUAUCUUUCUUAAGUCUUUUUUUGUCAUGCAUUGUUGAAUAUUUAUAAUUACUCUCUCAUUUCCCUUGUUGGCAGUCAUUACGAAAAAUGAACCACCCAAAUAUUGUCAAGCUGAAGGAAGUUAUUCGAGAAAGUGACAUUUUGUACUUUGUUUUUGAAUACAUGGUGCGCGAUUAAAGUUAAAGUUCUGGUAGAGAAAGACUUGGUUGGAUAAUGCAAGAUCUGAUAGACUAAUUUUAGUGUCAAUUUGGUGUGUUGUAGGAAUGCAACCUAUACCAGCUUAUGAAAGAUAGGGAAAAACUGUUUUCUGAAGGUGAAGUUAGAAAUUGGUGUUUUCAAGUUUUCCAAGGUCUUGCUUACAUGCACCAGCGUGGAUACUUCCAUCGUGACCUGAAGCCUGGUACUUAUGCACUAUUUCCUCUAAAAUCUGUUAUAUUAUGCUUUUUUAUUGAAUGUGAGAGUUAAUCUAUUACUUCCAUAAUAUAUUAAAUGUAAAGGUGAUUUUUUUGUACAUGUUUUAUUUUCCAAUAUAUCCUUUAAUCUAUGUAAAACUGCUUUGUUUAUUUUCUUGUCUUUAUCCCUUUUAAAAUAGCCAUCCCGACUUGUUCUCUUACUAUUCGGGUUCCAUUUGAUUUUUACAAGUUCCAAAUUUUCUACUCUCGCAUCCCAACGGAUGACUUCAAUUUUUUUUUAUCUUAAAUUUAAAUAUCUUAAAUAAUAUUUGAAAUUUAAACAAGAUAAAAUAAAUAUGUAUUAACAAUAUAUUAAAUUUAAAAUUAAUAUACACAACAAUAUGUAGAAUAAUAAAAAUUAUUACAACAAUUAAAUUUUGACUAUUAAAAUAAUAGUGUGAUAAAAAUGCAGAUACAUAGGUGCUAAUGAGCAUAUGGUGUUUUCGGUAGGUUGUAAACUAUAUAUAAAGACGUUUCUUGUUUACAGAUACUUAGGUGCUAAUGAGCAUAUGGUGUUUUCGUUAGGUUGUAAACUAUAUAUAAAGACGUUUUUUGUUUACACAAUAUACCCUUUUAAUCUAAGGUAAAACAACUUCAUUUAUUUUCUUCUGUGCCUUAUCGCCUUCAUACUAACCGUAAAAAAUGAUUCUUUCGUAUUCAGGUUCCAUCUGUGUUUUAUAAUUUCAAAGUUCUCUACCCUCUCAUCCCAUUUGUUAUUUCUCUAGUAUUAAAAUAUAUAUUAAAUUUAAACUCAGUAAAAUAAGAUGUAUGUGUUUUCGCUAGUUUAUAUUACGUGUGUUAUAUUUUGCCAGAAUUUUGUUCUCUUGUACUCUAGUUUUCUCUGGCUAACUGGUUAUAUACGUUUUCUAUUUUGACUGUUAAAUGCUAAUUAGAUGAACAGAACUCUAUUGUUAGACAGACUUAAAAUAAAUAAACUGAGAGCACGGUCUACUGUUUAUAUUACUCUAUCGCAAAAUGCUUCUGUUUUGACCCAAGGAAUGCUGAUAUGGUGCAGAAAACUUGCUGGUUACCAAGGAUAUAAUCAAAAUUGCUGAUUUUGGCCUAGCCCGAGAGAUCACUUCACAACCACCUUACACUGAAUAUGUCUCCACACGAUGGUAUGUGUAAUCGACUUUCAAUAGAUGCUUCACAUUCUGUGUUUUAGGUAUGUAAUAACAUGCGUGAUGGCCUUCCUGUUUAGGUACCGUGCACCUGAAGUGCUGCUUCAGUCUUAUAUGUAUUCCUCUAAAGUUGGUGAGUGUCUGAUUUGGCAACAAUUGUGUCAUUUACUUUUGUCACUUAUAUGUUUUUUCUAAUGAUGAUGAUGAGUAGCAUUUUAUUAACAUUUUUUUCCCUUCUAGACAUGUGGGCAAUGGGUGCUAUAAUGGCUGAGCUUUUCUCUCUUCGUCCCCUUUUCCCAGGUGUCAGGUAUUAGCUUCUUUUCACUUUCUGCCCCCUUCCCCCACCAUACACCUAAUAUUGAAUUUUUGACUGAGAAAAGAGCAAAUACAUCUUCAUUAAUUUUAGCACCUGGAACUCAUGCAAUUUAUAAAAUCUAAUGUUACGAUGUUUAUUUGCUUAAAAGUGGUAUCAUAUUCUAAAGCAGUCCUGAUUAGCAACUGGAUGUUGUAAAUAACAUGUUUCCUUGUGGCAUGCAGUGAAGCAGAUGAGAUAUACAAAAUAUGUGGUGUGAUUGGCAGUCCAACCUAUGAAUCUUGGGAUGAUGGACUCAAACUUGCAAGGGAUAUCAACUACCAAUUCCCGCAGGUUAGAUUUAACCCGAUCUUGCUAUGUUUAGUAGUUAGCAUCUGGGAUGCUAGUUGCGUACUUACUUUACUACGUAUAAUGGCAUUCUUCUAAUCACUUUAUAUGCCUUUUAUACUUUCUAUAGCUUGCCGGUGUGCAUCUUUCUGCACUGAUCCCGUCUGCAAGCGAGGAUGCAAUCAGUCUUAUCACAGUAUGUAGUUUUUGGUAUUAUUUGUUAGUUGCUUAGGCCUGUGAGCCACUGAUCAACAAAUAGUGUGUAAUGCAUUUUCUUUCCUGUUUUAUUCUUUUCUGUUAAUGCAGUCACUUUGCUCCUGGGAUCCCUGCAAGAGGCCAACAGCUUCUGAGGCCCUUCAGCAUCCUUUCUUUCAGGUGAUCUUCUAACUAGUUAAUGUUUUAUUGUUUUUCUUUUCGUCAGGAACGUAUCAUUUUUUACUUUAGAAGCUGUCUUAUUCGGACUUUUUAUUUGUUGUAGAGUUGCUUCUAUAUUCCUCCAUCCCUUCGAAGCAGAGCAGUAGCGAGAACUCCACCAUCCGGUUUGUAUUAUUUAUUUAUUAGCUAGGGACGUGUUUAUUGUGCGAGUGGUGAUCUUUAUUGUCCUUUCUUUCCAGCUGGAACCAGAGGAGCACUGGAUCAGCAAGGGGUCAAGAGAUAUCCCGGUGCUUUAUCUUAUUCAAAGAUCACCAAUCAUUUUUCUUCCCAGAAAUUACAUCCUCCUUUAGCUUCAGGUGACCUAUUACAUUUUUAUUGAUUAGAUCAAUGUAUGUGUUCUUUCCAUUAAUUUUUGUAUAUGGAGCAACACGACCCCAAAUGUACACCGGUCGAUGAAUAGAAAAACCUUGUAAUUAAAAUAUUUUACUAUUCUUCGUUGAUUUUUAUAAUUAACUACCCAUGCUUAUAAUUCUUAGUAAAUGAGAUUAUGAUGUUCAAUACAGAAAUAUUUUGAACCUUUUGACUAUUUUGCCUCGCGGUUAUCAAGUUAAUGGGUGUUUUCUACUAAUAGAUUUAGUUUUACUCAUCAAUAAGUAGAUAGAAGCUUGCCUCUUCUAAACCAGAAGGUUCCUUGGGCGACUGGCUUCUGCACUCUGGAUGCACCUUGUUUACUUUGAAGAGAAUUCAAUUAUGUUAUCAUUAGGUUUAAAAUAUCUGUUUGUUUAAACAGGAAAUUUCUUAUCGACAUAAAAGGUUUUCCCCGUUGGAUUCGUGUAUGUAAUAAAUAGGUUGUUGUUUGGUUAGUGAAAUACUCUGUAUAUUUGUUAAUGUGAAGACCGAUGUUCUCAUCCAAUUAAGAAUGUUACAGGUGUGCAACGGAAGCUGGAUAUGGUAAAUCAGGUGAGUUAUUCUCUUAACAUGCUUUUGUUCUUUCCACCCCUCUCUCAUUAACUAGCACUAUAUGCUUUCUUUUUAUACCAAGAAUAUAAAAACAUGAUUACCAAAUUUACUUGAAAGUCCUUUUUCGUAUAUUGAUGGAUGGGCUCUUGUAUGGCAUCUUGGAUGGACUAAUAUGUUAAUCUUAAGCUGGUUCCUUAUUCAAUCCAUGUGUCAUGCUAACGAUUUCUUUCUGUUUCUUCUGUAGGAUGGAAUUAGGAAUGAAAAACCUAUGAGGAGUACUAAACCAAAGUAUCGACAGCCAGGAAGGGACAGCCCAAGUAAGCCUUUGAGUCUCUGGUAUUUUAAUUUUUGUAUCAAGUAGGGGUGUACCAUGUCACAGGCUCCAACUGAAUUGUUUUGAAAUCCAACUGGUUUACACAUCUAUGCAGUAAAUUAAUAAUUAAAGAAGCAAUUGAAAUUAAAUUACCAAGUUACAAAGCUAUAUAGUUUACAAUUCGCUGACUAGUGGUCAAGAAAUAAUAAAAAUUCCACUUUAAUUUGCUUACAAUGAUAAGAACGGCAAGGUUCCCAUAACGCAUGGAAUCCGCAAUUGCAGGGCUAUAUGGAUAUCUUAGUUGAGACUAGGAUUAUACUGUUGUAUUGCUAGGUUUUAACGAGUUUUUAAUAGUUUGAGAAAAGGUUAUUCGGUUUAGAACUAUUUUUCUAAAACAGUUUGCAUUUGUGGUUCAAGAACUAGUUUUCCGAAACAGCUCCCUUUGUUUUCUUACACCGUUUAACUUCCCUCCCUGGUAUCAAGUGUUUUCUUUUAUCCCUGGUAUCAAGUGUUUUCUUUUAUGGGUCACUUUCAAUUGAUUGCCAUUCUUUAGUAUAUCUUUGAGAGAUUUGUUUUUCUGGAUUGUCGUAAUUAUUGUUUAUGGAAAACUGUGUUUGGUUGUUGGCAGCUUCUAUGAACAAGGGGAGGUCUGCACGUGGGAUUUCAGAAACAGCUGAGAAAUUGGGCAAUUUGUCUGUUAGUGGUAGAAGACAAUCAAUGGGGCAAACCCGUCCUCCACCAAUGAAAGCUGGAGUGAAUUGGAUUUCUGAAUCUGGAAACUUCAUCCUUGGGUCCGCCCAGCAGCAGAUUCAGGCUGGAAGAACUUUCACCAGAAAAGUUGCCGGAUGAGUAAAUGUGGAAGACCCUAAUGUGCAUGCUCAAUGUUGUUUGUGUGAAUGUCCUAAACUAUAAUUAUGUGUGUUUUACAAUAUUUUAUGGCUUUGGCCAACCCUAAACUACAAAACUAGUUUGUAUUGCCUGUGCCUGUGUUGUGACUUGUUGGCAAUCGUCUCGUACAUGUGGGACAUGCAGAGCUAAGCUCAUACUUUAAACUAUAAAAUCAAAGUUUUAUAUAAAUAAAGUUUGGCAUACACCUCUGACAUGCUACAACACGUCUU